AUACCUUUCUCGGCCUUUUGGCUAAGAUCAAGUGUAGUAUCUGUUCUUAUCAGUUUAAUAUCUGAUAAGCAGGCCAUAGGCCUGCACGAUAUUAAAUUAAUUUUUCUCGGGGAAGGGCCUACCCUAUGGUAGCUUGCUGCCGCGGCCCUCCAGCGUCGCCCUCGCAUUGCACUAUUGCCCUCGGCCUGGCGCGCCCCAC